rnacentral:misc_RNA from 1 species
AAGACUAUAGACCUGCGGAGUACCUGCGGAAGGAUCAUUACUGGUAAUUUUUCUAGUUCGAAAUAAAUCUUUUUCGGCUAGGGAAAUAUCUUAUCCUGUGCAACGAACUUGUCGCCUGGGGUUUGAAUAUAGUCUUUUUUGAGUAAAAUCAAAUUUGCUGACCCCAAUAGGCAUCCUUUCGAUACUUUUUUUUAUGGUAUUAAACUACUUUAUGUAUUUAACUGAAAUCUUAUAUCUUCA